UCCUUUGUAGUGUAACGGUAGCACGCUCGGCAUAUAUUCGAGAGGUCCAGGAUCGAGUCCCGGCGAGCGCA
rnacentral:tRNA from 1 species